rnacentral:tRNA from 1 species
GCGGCCGUGACGAAACCGGUAAACGUGCUCGCCUUGGGAGCGAGUGGGGUGCUUGCACCACCCCUUGGGAGUUCGAUUCUCCCCGGCCGCA